rnacentral:lncRNA from 1 species
CAGAAACAUUGUUGCAUUUCUCAUUUAUAAUUCAAAGGAUGUAGGCUAUAGCAGAAUUGUUGGUUAUUUUCCAAAUCUCAGCACUAAACAAUCAAAAGUAAAGAGUUAUUGUCAACUUAAUCAUGAGUAAGCUUGAUUGACUUUUACUCCAUUGUGAGUCUUGAUCUUUCUAUAAAUUAACAAGCUUAAAACUUGACUGUAUUUCAUGACGUGAUAAAGAUCAAAAGACCGGGAAGAACCAGAGGAAAUGAAUCAAUGAGGUUGAUUAGUUGAGUCAGCAUCUCCAGAGGACUCCAGCCACCGAGAAGCAGAAACAGGCCAAAGCAAUGACAACAUAAGUCAAUGACUCUACACAAAUCAAUUUCACAUAUUCCAAAGCCAAUUAAUUACAGAUGUUGGCGGGCGGAGCUGGGAGGGUCGUCAGCGACAUGGGACACACCUGGGCCCGGGUGUGUCCCGGGAUAAAUACACCUCGUCCCCAUUCAUUGAGGAGACUCUCUCCAUGCAGACAUACUUUUAGAUUUUGGUUGUGGCAGUUUUGUUUGUUUGCUUUGGCACCUUUCAACAC